rnacentral:rRNA from 1 species
CCUACGGGAGGCAGCAGUGAGGAAUAUUGGUCAAUGGACGAGAGUCUGAACCAGCCAAGUAGCGUGAAGGAUGACUGCCCUAUGGGUUGUAAACUUCUUUUAUAUGGGAAUAAAACGUUCCACGUGUGGGAUUUUGUAUGUACCAUAUGAGUAAGGAUCGGCUAACUCCGUGCCAGCAGCCGCGGUAAUACGGAGGAUCCGAGCGUUAUCCGGAUUUAUUGGGUUUAAAGGGAGCGUAGGUGGAUUGUUAAGUCAGUUGUGAAAGUUUGCGGCUCAACCGUAAAAUUGCAGUUGAAACUGGCAGUCUUGAGUACAGUAGAGGUGGGCGGAAUUCGUGGUGUAGCGGUGAAAUGCUUAGAUAUCACGAAGAACUCCGAUUGCGAAGGCAGUUCACUGGACUGCAACUGACACUGAGGCUCGAAAGUGUGGGUAUCAAACAGGAUUAGAUACCCGAGUAGUC